rnacentral:tRNA from 1 species
GUGACCGUAGCUCAGCCGGCAGAGCGCCAGAUUGUGGCUCUGGAGGUCGCGGGUUCAAGCCCCGUCGGUCACCCCC